GAUGAACGCUGGCGGCGUGCCUAAUACAUGCAAGUCGAGCGAACAGACGAGUAGCUUUCUCCUCUUACUUUAUCGUCUGACGGGUGUGUACCACGUUUAUAACCUACCUAUAAUACUUGGAUAACUUCGUGAAACCGUAGCUACUACCGGAUAAUAUAUUGAACCGCAUUGUUCAAUAUUGUAUGACGGUUUUUCUGUCUCUUAUAGAUUGUUCCGCGCCGCAUUAGCUAUUUGGUAAGGUAACGGCUUACCAAGGCUACGAUGCGUAUCCGACGUGAGAGGGUGAUCGGCCACACUGGAACUGAGACACGGAACAGAGUACUACGGGAGGCAGCAGUAGGGAAUAUGACGAAAGGGGCGAAAGAAUGACGGAGAAAAGCCGAGUGAGUGAUGAAGGACUACGGAUCGUAAAACUCUGUUAGGAGGGAAGAAAAAAAGUGUAAGUAAAGAUGAAGGGAAUGACGGUAAAAAAUAAGAAAGAAACGGCUAACUACGGG
rnacentral:rRNA from 1 species